UAUUUGUUUGUUAACACCUUUUCUUGGAGAGUAACAAAGGCCUGUUUCUUUUAGAUUUGAGAAACUUUGGCCAUAUUCCCAACCACUUACAUGGAGAAUCAGAAUACUUUAGGUUAAAAAAAGAACCAAGUCCAAAUUUCCCACUAGAAUAGGUCACAUCACUAACCCAACCUAACAGUAAAAAGGGUGUACAAAGGAGGGGAGGCAUUACCAGGUUGAAUGAUACAGAGGGGGAGGAUUAAUAUAUAUAUAUAUAUGAGGUGAAAUAGAUUUUCCUCUUUAUGGGCAAUUGGAGUUUCUGCCAGGGCCCCCAUAAUAAAAGUAAUGGCCCCAGUCACCAUUGCUACCAGUUUGAACAUCAUAGCAAUUAGAUUGCUCAGUGAAGGUGCCAAUUCCUUUAGGUGCCUUGAGAUUAUUGGAACCAUCAACAACUUGAAUAUUCCUGAAGUAACUUGCUUUCCCAAACCCUUCUUCAGGGAAAUGUCCACUGCCCAUCUGAGUUGAGGUGUGUUGACCAUUUGGCACUGAGUUCACCACCUCACCUCCCCACUCAAUCAUGGAAGCACUGUCUGUUAAGUAUGAGAAUAGGAAAGAUGGCCAAUAACCCAACACAUAGUCAUUACCAAAUUGCAUCCACCAGUGUCCCUCUUUUGGAUCCUUCCAGACAAGAAUGCUGAUAUCAUAUUGGGAAUUGCGGAAGGCAGAAACAGGAGAGAUGCUUGCACCCAUUGCUAUCUCGCUAUUGAUCUGAAUAAAGCCUGAACAAAGAAGAUUGUAGCAUCCAGUGGCUUGAUAUGCAUCGCUAGUCCAGUAGGUGAAGAGCCUUGUGUUGUUGUCGCCAUAUAGAUCUGGACUGACCUGCCAGCCAGCUUCAAUACUGUUGAGAUCUUCACCAAAGGAACCUCCCAAUAUCCAUAGCUGAGACAGGCUGAAUUCAUUAGGCUGUUGUAUUUUGGGUUCCCACACAUUAAUGGUUGCUUUUGCUCCAUAAUACUUGUCUCCUUCUACAUAAGCUAUUGCAUGUUGAUGGCCACUUUCAUUCAUGAGAU
rnacentral:misc_RNA from 1 species